rnacentral:lncRNA from 1 species
AUAAGGGAGAUACCAUUUGAUUUUUAUGGGGGGCUAGGAUGAAAAAUUUUGUCCUGCAUUUUUUUUUAGCUGUAAUCCCUGUCCUGCCUUUUUAUUUUUCACUCUAAUCGGUCCUGCCUUUUUUUUUUUUAGUUUAUCCUGACUUUUUUUUACCUAAAUUGUCGUCCUGACUUUUUUUUUUUUGCAAGUGUCACAUCCUGCCUUUUUUUUUUACUCAAAACUACUGUCCUGCCUAUUUUUUUCAAAUUUCAUCCUAGCCCCCCCCACCCCC